ACAGGGCGCGAAAUCGGCUGAAUGUUGCAAACCAAGCUGGGACAAAAGAUUUAAACCCUUGCCUCGUACCUUCUUUUGUAGCUCACUGAUUCGGAGGUGACACAGGAGCUUUUGGUGUGACUUGGCUCAAUGCAUGUGAUGCCACAGGAGCUUGAUCGAGGAUUUCCCGGAAUCUUAAUUUAGCGAAUCUUUUUCUGAAAACGUUUUGCCUCGAUGAGGGAGUUAGUUCAUGAAAGAAGGGAUCGUGUUAAGGGUGGUGUCUGGAAGAGAUGUGUGGCGUUGGAAGGUGAUAUGAAAUACACAGGAAAGGAAAGAAAAGGAUGUUUUGCUUAAGAGUGCCAUUUGCAAAUUUAUUCAGUAAUUUGAAGAUUUAUAUAAGGGCCUGUUCAGAAAGGGGCAUUUGUCCCGCUCUAAGAAAGUGCUCUUCACACAAGCCUGAUGGCCUGAACUAAUUCCUGGAACCCACGUGGUGGAAGAGAGCGGACUCCUGAAAGUUAUCUUCAGAUCACAUAUACACAAUAAGAAAAUGUAAAUUUUAAAAAUCAAAAUAGUAAUCAGAACAUUAGAAUGCUGUUUUAGUGAAAUUUUUAGUGAAAUGUAAACGUGAUACAAGUGAUUAUGGAACAUCUGGAUGCUUUGUAUAGUUUUGUACAAAACUUUAACCUUUUCCAAAAUGAGAAAGGGAUUAAAAUUGUCAAAGGAAUUGAAGUCUGUAAAUUUUUUUCUUUUGCAAAGAAAGUUAUUUGUAGUGGUAUUUUGCAGUGCCCUCCGAUCAGAUAGAGCUGGAGUUAGAGUGGUGAGCUGCCUGGGGUGGGUGCUGUAAGCUGAACUCUCUGGAAGAGUGAGUACUGAGUCAUCUCUCCCACCCAACUUUUUGUGGCUAUGAAUGUGAAAUCUUUUGCAUUCUAGAGAAAAAGCAAGAGUAAGAGGUGCCAUGUUGGAAUAUUAUGGCUGCCAAUCAAAAUGAAUUGUUGCUUCCUGAUAGAGGGCUAGUCACUAUUCAGAAGUGUCCCUGUUUAAACAUUUCAGAAGUUGUGCCAAAUGAGGGUAGCUACAAUAAAAGCCAGCUUGUUCUUGCAGAUCCGAUUGUGCCGCUGUCUGGCCUGUGUUUCAUUUGUAGUAUACAAUAAACAUUAUUUUAACUGUUCUGAC